GAUGAACGCUAGCGGCGGGCUUAAUACAUGCAAGUCAAGGGGUAGCAAUACACCGGCGUACGGGUGCGUAACGCGUAUGGAACCUGCCCUUAUCUGGGGGAUAACUCGGGGAAACUCGAGCUAAUACCGCAUAAGAUAGUAGAGAGGCAUCUCUUAGCUAUUAAAGAUUUAUCGGAUAAGGAUGGCCAUGCGUAAGAUUCGAUAGUUGGCGAGGUAACGGCUCACCAAGUCUACGAUCUUUAGGGGCUCUGAGAGGAGAAUCCCCCACACUGGCACUGAGAUACGGGCCAGACUCCUACGGGAGGCAGCAGUAGGGAAUAUUGGGCAAUGGGCGGAAGCCUGACCCAGCCACGCCGCGUGCAGGAAGACGGCCCUCUGGGUUGUAAACUGCUUUUAACUGGGAAGAAAGUAGUCCUUGCGAGGAAAGUUGACGGUACCAGUUGAAUAAGCCACGGCUAACUACGUGCCAGCCGCCGCGGUAAUAC
rnacentral:rRNA from 1 species